UGAAUCUCCACUUAUAUAUAUACCCCUCUACUAAAAUUAUUUCUGGAGUUGCGUAUGUACACAAAAGACAUUAAUUAAGAUUAUGAACUAACUAUAUUUUCACUGCUCUUGCAUUUCUAGAAAGAUGACUAAGUUAACUUCCGCAAACAUGUUCUUACUUGUCCUUCUGGUUUCAGUUGUGUGGAUGACAAGUGAAGUGGGAGGUGAGAGAUGUCAAGUAGUUUGGUAUGAUGCAGGUUGUGAUGAAGGCAUCUAUGACUAUAGUUGUGUUCAAGAAUGCAAAAGGCAAUAUGGUUUCUGGGCCUUUGGAUACUGCAAGGUAUCCCUUUGUGAAUGCAACUAUAGUUGCACCUCUUAUUAAUCCCAAGAGAAUUUAUGCCUUUAACGGAAUAAUAAAUUCGAUCUCUCAAAUAAGAUCAAAAUAAUUAGUGAACUUGUAUCAAUUAACUACUAUAUAUAAUUAUAUGAUUAUGCUAC